UACGUAGGGUGCAAGCGUUGUCCGGAAUUAUUGGGUUUAAAGGGUGCGUAGGCGGAUUAUUAAGUCAGUGGUGAAAGCCUGCAGCUUAACUGCAGAACUGCCAUUGAUACUGAUGAUCUUGAGUAUGAUUGAGGUGGGCGGAAUGUGUCAUGUAGCGGUGAAAUGCUUAGAUAUGACACAGAACACCGAUUGCGAAGGCAGCUCACUAAGCCAUAACUGACGCUGAUGCACGAAAGCGUGGGGAGCAAACAGG
rnacentral:rRNA from 1 species